GGUGUGGUUAAUGAUGCAUUCUCUUUCCCCGACUUAUCGACUAUGGUGAUACAGCCUCUUACAAUAAGCCAAAUUUAAUCUGAAACCACACC